rfam:Myotis davidii contig105035, whole genome shotgun sequence.
GAGACACCCUUCUGGGGCAAGACUUGCUUCAGUGGGGCUUUGGUGCUCACUGAGUCUGCCCCCUGAGUUUGUCCCU